UCUGCUUUGCCCGGUCCAAUAGUGGUUGUAUUUCCCAACUAAUAGUCUUUGAAGAGAGGACCCCCUUUACCAUUGUGCGGUAGUCAGAAUGUAUAAUUAUUUCUUUUUCAGUUCUAUUCUGGGCCAGCUUCAAGGAGAUAAACUUUAGAGUUUCAAUCAGAGCCAUUACCUCCGCUUGCUCGGCCAAUCUAACCUCCACAGAUUUAGUAAAACCAUCAAUAAUUCUUCGCAGAUUGUCCCUGCAAAUACAAGCUACAACUGCUGUGAAGGGGGAAAGUCGAGUUUGAGAUCCGGCAUGCAAGGCACAGAGGUGAUUUCAAUUUCUUCCCACUCUACGGCAUCCACACCUAUUUCAAGAAUGCUGGACAGAUCCAGCGAAUAUUUGUUCUUUCUUUGUAUUUGGAAGAAACACUUGUCUUGCCAUCCCUGUUGGGUCACAACGCAGCUUCGUUUGGAGGGAGAUGUCGCUGCAAGGUGCCUAAGAUUCCACUAGUCUCUUCUCUGUUUAGAUCUGGGUUGCUUUGCUGAUUUCUUGCUUCUUCUCUUUCUUUCGACUUCAAAUCUGGCCUCACCCUUUGCUCUGCAUUGUAGCUGCUGUAUGAGUUUAGUUCUGUGUCAGAGGGGACAUUUUUUGGGUCUUGCUUUUUAUUUGUUGAUUGAUUAUUUCGUCUGGGCAACCCAUAGGGUAGAGAUAAGGCAUAUUUAUUGAUGUUUUCACCUUGCUUCUUCUUUGCAAUAGCUAGGCCCGUGGGUUUUUGAAUUACCUCAUAUACCAUUUUGUGUGGCCGUUCUAUCAUCACCCGUUCACCAACAUCCGAGUUAGUUAUUGUUGGCGAUAUGGCUGAGGCCUCUGGGUUGCAAGUAGAGCUAGCCAAUUGUAUGUUUCCAUGCAGGUGGAGCUGGCCUUCUUCAAUUUCCGUCCAUGAGACAUCAAGUGUUGGGGAGAAGGAGGUAUAGGAGUUGGGAAACGAGUCUUGAAAUUCUUCGCUUGUUGAUUUUGGUUCCAAGGCCUGAAGGUCUAUGUUGAUUUUGAGAACACCGGGCUUCGGGGGUUGCCAUUUGUUUUGUAAGUUGGCUUCUUUCUUCUGGUUUUUCGAUUUGGGAUUCCAAGUGGCAAAGCUGUCUUGUGAGGUGAUGGCUCUAAAAAGAGUGUGAUGGAAAUUGAGAGGACUUUUCCUGAAAAUAUGAUGAUUUUGACCCUUCCAUAUGCACCAAAGUACAUUCGCAAGUAGUUCAAAUUCUUGAGAUGUUCUAGAGCUUGUGUGCACUUUGUAUAACCAUUCAUCAAAGCGGGUCAAGCCUACUCGAUUCACUUCAAUUUGCAGGGAUGGCUCAGUCCAUAGCUGCGUGAUCCAAAGGCAUAGAAGAAAUGUGUGUUCUAUUGUCUCCGGUUCCAAACCACAUAAUGGAAAUAUAGGCGCAAGUACUAUUUUCCUUCUAUACAAGUUCUCCAUCGUAGGUAAAGCAUUUUGACAGGCACUCCAUAGAAAGAACUUUAUUUUGGGUUGUAUAGUCGCAUUCCAUAUUUGUUUCCAUAAUUCGGGGCUGACCUGGUAGGAUGUUGUUGGCAGUUGAUCUUGAAUAGCCAUUGUAUUCUUUCUAUGCAGCAAAUAUCCACUUUUCACCAUAUACCUUCCCGAUUUAUUACUCAACCAUAUCAAUUUAUCUUCCGUUGUUGGAAGUUCGAAAGGGGUAGCUAGAAUUUCCGUCAUUGUAUUAUGAUCAAACAUAGAUCGCAAUAAAUCUUCUUUCCACACAGCAUUUUCAAAGUCUAUCAACUCUACAACCUUGGAAGGUUCAUUUCUUGCCGCAGGUCCUCCGAUUACACCCAUUUUCAGCCACUUAUCUGUUUUGAUUGAGAUUUUCUGACCAUUUCCCACAGCCCACAUUACUUGAGGGGCGAUCACUUCUCUCCCAGCUAAUAGGCUUUGCCAUCCCCAAGAUGGGCGCGAUCCUUUUCCUGCUUGCCAAAAGGAUACAGGGACAACGAAAGAGGGCUGUGAUAAGAGCCUAUUGCUGGUAGCGCUAAAACCUCCGCACUGGAUAAGCUAUUCUCCACUCCAAGGCUAGCCACCAAAGUCUAGUGCAUUGAUUUCUCCUCUUCCGAGAUAGGAAUGUCCACAAGCUGCAAUUUAUCAGUAGAAGGUGCCUUUGACGAUUGAGCACCAUACGGGCAGAAUCUCUUUCUUUUUUUCGAAGUAGGUAGUUUAGUACUUUUAAUUUUACCCUUGUUUCGGCUUCUUUCAUUUGCUGGCUGGUAUUCUUCCUCAAACUCUUUUUCUUUUAGCUGUUCAGUGUAAAGAAACAUCAUAGAUUCGUCAUCUAAACAGCUACUUCCUCUUUUCUGUGGACCUUUUUCCUCCCUUAUGCAAGGGGGGAUUCCGGUACCACUUCAGGAUCUUGAAGGAGCUCAACAUGUUUUCCAUAAAAUAUUUUACCAUAAGGGCUGAUAUCCCUGACUUCGGCACGUAACCAGCUACCAAAAUUACCUAGUAAAUCCUCUUCCAGCCUUGUAAAGUCAUAUGGAAUUUCUUUGCACGCUGUAGCAUAAUGUCCAAUUCUUCCACAAGAAAAGCAGAAGUGUGGGAGCCUCUCAUAUUUGAAUUCUAUCCAUAAUUUUUUGCUGCCCAAACUGAGAACGACACAUGUUUUAAGGGGGGGAGCCCAAAUGAAGAUUAACUCGGGCUUUACCAAAUUUAUACAUACUAUUUCCUUUAGCUUCCAA